rnacentral:rRNA from 1 species
GUGGGGAAUAUUGGGCAAUGGGGGCAACCCUGACCCAGCGACGCCGCGUGAGGGAAGAAGGCCUUAGGGUCGUAAACCUCUGUUGUGUGGGAAGAAGGAAGUGACGGUACCACACGAGGAAGUCCCGGCUAACUACGUGCCAGCAGCCGCGGUAAUACGUAGGGGACGAGCGUUGUCCGGAAUUACUGGGCGUAAAGGGCGCGUAGGCGGUCAUUUAAGUCAGCUGUGAAAUGGUUUGGCUUAACCGGAUCAUGCGGUUGAAACUGGAUGACUGGAGUGCUGGAGAGGCAAGUGGAAUUCCCAGUGUAGCGGUGAAAUGCGUAGAUAUUGGGAAGAACACCGGUGGCGAAGGCGACUUGCUGGCCAGCAACUGACGCUGAGGCGCGAAAGCCAGGGGAGCGAACGGGAUUAGAUACCCGGGUAGUCC